AUUGAACGCUGGCGGCAGGCCUAACACAUGCAAGUCGAACGAGUGGCGGACGGGUGAGUAAUGUCUGGGAAACUGCCCGAUGGAGGGGGAUAACUACUGGAAACGGUAGCUAAUACCGCAUACCAUCGGAUGUGCCCAGAUGGGAUUAGCUAGUAGGUGGGGUAACGGCUCACCUAGGCGACGAUCCCUAGCUGGCCUGAGAGGGUGACCAGCCCCACUGGAACUGAGACACGGUCCAGACUCCUACGGGAGGCAGCAGUGGGGAAUAGUGUGCAAUGGGCGAAAGCCUGAUGCAGCAAUUCCGCGUGUAUGAAUAAGGCCUUCGGGUUGUAAAGUACUUUCGGCGAGGAAGCGUUACUCGCAGAAGAAGCAACGGCUAACUCCGUGCCAGCAGCCGCGGUAAUUC
rnacentral:rRNA from 1 species